rnacentral:rRNA from 1 species
AGCGAACGCUGGCGGCAGGCCUAACACAUGCAAGUCGAACGAAGUCUUCGGACUUAGUGGCGGACGGGUGAGUAACACGUGGGAACGUGCCUUUAGGUCCGGAAUAACUUAGGGAAACUUGUGCUAAUACCGAAUGUGCCCUUCGGGGGAAAGAUUUAUCGCCUUUAGAGCGGCCCGCGUCUGAUUAGCGAGUUGGUGAGGUAAAGGCUCACCAAGGCGACGAUCAGUAGCUGGUCUGAGAGGAUGAUCAGCCACAUUGGGACUGAGACACGGCACAAACUCCUACGGGAGGCAGCAGUGGGGAAUCUUGCGCAAUGGGCGAAAGCCUGACGCAGCCAUGCCGCGUGAAUGAUGAAGGUCUUAGGAUUGUAAAAUUCUUUCACCGGGGACGAUAAUGACGGUACCCGGAGAAGAAGCCCCGGCUAACUUCGUGCCAGCCGCCGCAGUAA